GCAGUCGGACGGUUUGUCGCUGGCGAUUCCUUAGGAAUUGAAAGAGGAAAGUCCGGGCAGCAUAGGGCAUUCCACUUCCGAAAAUAGAAGCAGUCCGUGAGGGUUGAGUAAUGCAGAAGAAAAAAACAACGAUGGAGGCUCGCCUCUGUCGAAAUGGUGAGAAGGUGAGGUAAGAGCUCACCAGCAGUAUGGUGACAUGCUGGCUGUGCAUCUUGGAAGCUGCAAGUUCAUGUAAACUACCGCCAUCAGGGUAGCCCGCCCAAUUGUUCGGUAGAGGGUAGAACGCUUGAGCCAUGAGGUGACUCAUGGAGUAGAUAAAUGACAGACACGCCCUUCAGGGCGGACAGAACCCGGCUUAUAGACCGACUGCUUUC
rnacentral:RNase_P_RNA from 1 species